UCCAUGUGUGUUUCUUGACUUAUGUUGCAAACACCAAGGCAACUUCACCCCCACCAAUUAUUCAUAAGAUUGCUACGACAGCGUUUUAACCUUGUAAAAUUUUCCUUGACAACAUUCAUUUCUCUACUUUAAAACGUAUGGAUGAGCUUCAGUCAGUCUGAGAGAGCUCAGUAGUAAAUGGUAAAGAACAUGGCAAGAGACUCAGACUAUGGAGCUUUCAUGGAGAAGUUCCUUCUACAACCAAGCCCUUCACUUCAUCAGCUUCCCUUACAUGGCCUCACCUUUGCUUUUAAAGACAUAUUUGAUGUAGAUGGAUAUGUUACUGGGUUUGGUAAUCCUGACUGGGCAAGGACUCAUCCGGCUGCCACAUCAACAGCCCCGGCUAUUUGGCUGUCUUAAGGGGAGGUGCCACGUGUGUUGGUAAAACUGUCACGGCUGAACUGGCAUACAGUAUUAAUGGAGAAAACAAACAUUAUGGCACACCUACAAAUCCAUGUGUGCCUGAUCGGGUACCUGGAGGCUCUUCUAGUGGAUCUGCUGUAGCAGUAGGUGCAAAGCUUGUUGAUUUUGCAUUAGGAACUGACACUGGACGAAGUGUAAGAGUACCUGCAUCAUACUGUGGAAUUCUUGGGUUCCGGCCUUCACAUGAUGUCAUUUCUACUGCUGGAGUUAUUCCUUUGGUGCAAAUUUUUGAUACUGUGGGAUGGUUUGCUAGGGACCCUGUAAUUUUUAAUAGAGUUGGACGAGUGCUUCUACAAUUACCUGAUGUGGAUCUUGUCAGACCCAGUCGGAUAAUUAUUGCAGAAGAUUGUUUCCAGCUUUCAGACAUUCCAAAGGAUCGAGUUAUUCAACCUCUCGUCAAAUCAGUGGACAAGUUAUUUGGGAGUCAUCUUGUUUCGCGUGCAAUCCUUGAGGACUACGUCAAGGACAAAGUUCCAAGUUUGAAACAAUUCGCCAAUAAAGGAAAUGCAGAUCAAGAGUCUCAUAUACCAUCUUUGGAAGCCCUUUCAAGUGCCAUGCGAUUGAUUAUAGGGCAUGAGUUCAAGAACAACCAUGGUGAAUGGAUCAAUACUGUCAAACCUGAUUUGGGUCCUGGGAUAUCAGAACGGGUAUGGGAAGCCCUUAUGACAACAGAUGAAAAUUUGGAUAUUUGUCACUCUGUGAAGAGCGAAGCCCGUGCAGCUCUUAUUGAUCUUCUUGGGGAUUUUGGUGUCCUAGCAAUUCCCACAGUUCUGGGGCCUCCAUCAAAGUUACAAACAGAUCCAACUAUAUCAGAAAAUUUUUGUGACAGGACAUUCAGCUUACUGUUGAUUGCAUCUGCAUCUGGAUUUUGUCAGGUUAGCAUACCACUAGGGUUGUAUGAUAAUCUUCCUGUCUCAAUUUCCUUGUUGGCGACACAUGGUUCAGAUGGGUUCCUGCUCAAUCUUGUUGAGACUCUGUAUUACACUCUCAAAGAAGAGGUUGGCAUUGUUGAGAAAAUGGGUUCCUGAAUUUUGUCUCUUCCUAAUGUUCUUUUUCUUGCAUGCCAAAUAGGCUCUUUCUCUUUCUUCUGGAAACAAAUGAUACUCGAAGUGGCUCUGAAAUGUUUCUUAUAACUACUUCAUUAUCAUUUUAUUUCAUUAAAUAAUGCAAAUCCAUUUCCACUUGAA